rnacentral:rRNA from 1 species
UACGUAGGGUGCAAGCGUUAAUCGGAAUUACUGGGCGUAAAGCGUGCGCAGGCGGUUUUGUAAGUCUGACGUGAAAUCCCGGGGCUCAACCUGGGAAUUGCGUUGGAGACUGCAAGGCUAGAAUCUGGCAGAGGGGGGUAGAAUUCCACGUGUAGCAGUGAAAUGCGUAGAGAUGUGGAGGAACACCGAUGGCGAAGGCAGCCCCCUGGGUCAAGAUUGACGCUCAUGCACGAAAGCGUGGGGAGCAAACAGG